CUUUACCCUAAUUAGAUGUUAUGGUUCAAAUGGAAACAUCACUGGACACAUCCUCCGUAAUGGUGCAGCGAGAAGAAAUUGUGCAUUUGCCAUAUCAGGGGACAAUGCAUACAGAUAAUGUGGCCAUUAGCCAACCACCUUCGGCACAUAUUCCAGAUAUGGGGCCAAUGUCUGAAGGCAGUGGAAUAGUUGAUCAGCCACAACAGACAUCAACCACCAGCUCCAUACAUUCUGAAGAUCAUGUACAAGCAGAGAUGCCCACCACUCCGUUUGAUAAUAUUG